AACGAACGCUGGCGGCAUGCCUAACACAUGCAAGUCGAACGAACCCUUCGGGGUGAGUGGCGCACGGGUGCGUAACACGUGGGAACCUGCCCUUAGGUUCGGAAUAACACAGAGAAAUUUGUGCUAAUACCGGAUAAUGUCUUCGGACCAAAGAUUUAUCGCCUUUGGAUGGGCCCGCGUAGGCUUAGCUAGUUGGUGAGGUAAAGGCUCACCAAGGCGACGAUCCUUAGCUGGUCUUAGAGGAUGAUCAGCCACACUGGGACUGAGACACGGCCCAGACUCCUACGGGAGGCAGCAGUGGGGAAUAUUGGACAAUGGGCGAAAGCCUGAUCCAGCAAUGCCGCGUGAGUGAUGAAGGCCUUAGGGUUGUAAAGCUCUUUUACUGGGGAUGAUAAUGACAGUACCCAGAGAAUAAGCCCCGGCUAACUCCGUGCCAGCCGCCGCCGUAAGAC
rnacentral:rRNA from 1 species